rnacentral:lncRNA from 14 species
CAGCCUCUGAAGAGUCCCAGCAAGAGGUUGGCCGCAAAGCUCAACAAGAAGUGAGUGAGGCACAGGAACUGUCAAGACAGAAGGUGCUGGAGGUUGUGCACCUGCAGAAGGUCCUGGAGGAGAAGAGGAGUCGAUGGGAGGAGGUAGAAGAUCAGAACAAGGAGCUGCAGGUGUGUCUGCAGUCCUUGGAGGAGGAAAGGAGUCGAUGGGAAGAAGUAGAGCGUCACAACACAGAAUUUCAAGCCUCGCUGAAGGUCCUAGAGAGUGAAAAAGCCAGGCUGACCCUGUCUCUGGAAGAGAAGGAGCUGAGCCUCAAAGCGCUGGAAGAAAAGAACUCUGCCCAGCAUAACGAGGUGUCUCAGCUCCUCUCUGCUCUUCACCAGGCCCAGCAGCUCCAUUCAGACCACAGAAGGGAAAUAAAAGAGCUCAACAAGCAGAUAGAGUCACUGCAGGAGGUAGUGCUGGAGAAGGAGGCUGGCCUGGCAGCUCGGGAGAAGCAACUGCUGCAGGAUCUGGAGGAAUCUCGAGCAGGCGAGCGGUGCUUGAGGGACUCUGUGCAUGUGCUGGAGGCUGAGAUGUCUGAACUGCAGCUGAGGCUUUGUAGCACAGACAACAGAGCAAAGGCAUUGGCUGUGGAGUGUCAGCAGGCUAAGAGUGCCCACUGUGAAGCCCAGUCCCAGCUGGACAAACUGCACUGGGUUCUGCACCGCA